AUUGAACGCUGGCGGCAGGCUUAACACAUGCAAGUCGAGCGAGCGGCGGACGGGUGAGUAGUGUCUGGGAAACUGCCUGAUGGAGGGGUAUAAAUACUGGAAAAGGUAGCUAAUACCGCAUACCAUCAGAUGGGCCCAGAUGGGAUGAGCUAGUAGGUGGGGUAAUGGCUCACCUAGGCGAAGAUCCCUAGCUGGUCUGAGAGGAUGACCAGCCCCACUGGAACUGAGACCCGGUCCAGAUCCCAACGGGAGGCAGCAGUGGGAAAUAUUGCACAAUGGGCGCAAGCCUGUUGCAGCCAGGCCGCGUGGGUGAAGAAGGCCUUCGGGUGGUAAAGCACUUUCAGCGAGGAGGCGUUACUCGCAGAAGAAGCACCGGCUAACUCCGUGCCAGCAGCCGCGGUAAUAC
rnacentral:rRNA from 1 species